rnacentral:rRNA from 1 species
UUCCGGUUGAUCCUGCCGGAGGUCACUGCUAUUGGGGUCCGACUAAGCCAUGCGAGUCAAUAGUUCUUCGUGAACUAGGCGGACGGCUCAGUAACACGUGGGUAAUCUACCCUCAGGACAGGGAUAACCCCGGGAAACUGGGGAUAAUACCUGAUAGGUGGAGAGGUCUGGAAUGAUCCUCUGCCCAAAGCUCCGGCGCCUGAGGAUGAGCCUGCGGCCGAUUAGGUUGUUGGCGGUGUAACGGACCACCAAGCCUGAGAUCGGUACGGGCACUGAGAGGUGGAGCCCGGAGAUGGGGGCUGAGAAACGGCCCCAGGCCCUACGGGGCGCAGCAGGCGCGAAAACUCCGCAAUACGCGAAAGCGUGACGGGGGGACCCCAAGUGUCAUGCCUUCGGGUAUGACUUUUGCAGAGUGUAAACAGCUCUGCGAAUAAGAGCUGGGUAAGACCGGUGCCAGCCGCCGCGGUAACACCGGCAGCUCAAGUGGUGGCCACUAUUAUUGGGCCUAAAGCGUCCGUAGCCUGCUCGGUAAGUCCUUGGGAAAAUCCGCUCGUUCCACGAACGGGACCCUGAGGAUACUGCCGAACUUGGGAACGAGAGAAGUCGGAAGUACUCCUGGGGUAGCGGUGAAAUGCUGUAAUCCU